rnacentral:rRNA from 1 species
UACGGAGGGUGCGAGCGUUGUCCGGAAUCACUGGGCGUAAAGAGCGCGCAGGCGGCUGGUCAAGUCCGAUGUGAAAUCUCCCGGCUCAACUGGGAAACUGCAUCGGAAACUGAUCGGCUUGAAGGUGGGAGAGGGUAGUGGAAUUCCCGGUGUAGUGGUGAAAUGCGUAGAUAUCGGGAGGAACACCAGUGGCGAAGGCGACUACCUGGCCCACUCUUGACGCUGAGGCGCGAAAGCUAGGGGAGCGAACGGG